rnacentral:rRNA from 1 species
UACGUAGGGUGCGAGCGUUAAUCGGAAUUACUGGGCGUAAAGCGUGCGUAGGCGGUUCGUUAUGUCUGCUGUGAAAGCCCCGGGCUUAACCUGGGAAUGGCAGUGGAAACUGGCGGGCUUGAGUGUGGCAGAGGGGGGUGGAAUUCCGCGUGUAGCAGUGAAAUGCGUAGAGAUGCGGAGGAACACCGAUGGCGAAGGCAGCCCCCUGGGCUGACACUGACGCUCAGGCACGAAAGCGUGGGGAGCAAACAGG